rnacentral:rRNA from 1 species
UACGUAGGGUGCAAGCGUUGUCCGGAAUUACUGGGCGUAAAGCGCACGUAGGCGGCUCUUUAAGUCGGGGGUGAAAUCCUGGAGCUCAACUCCAGAACUGCCUUCGAUACUGGAGAGCUCGAGUCCGGGAGAGGUGAGUGGAACUGCGAGUGUAGAGGUGAAAUUCGUAGAUAUUCGCAAGAACACCAGUGGCGAAGGCGGCUCACUGGCCCGGUACUGACGCUGAGGUGCGAAAGCGUGGGGAGCAAACAGG